GCCUUCUCCCUGGAGACACAGCCUGAUAUUGAGGAUGUUACUGCUGCAAGCAGCCACCUUUUUCUCCUUCUGGGCUUUUGGGCUCGGAGUGCAGAAGAUGGAGCAGUCCCAGAUUUCCAUUUCUACUGAAGAAAAUAAAAGGGUUGACAUCCCUUGCAAGGUAUCAACUGACAAUUUUGAAGUUGAAGCCAUUCACUGGUACCGGCAGAAACAGGAUCAGGCUUUGGAGCAUCUGAUUCAAGUGAUCUCAACGACAACCUCAGCUCAAGGACAAAACAGCAGAGUUUUAGCAAAGAAAGAUUCUGCAACUCAGUUUUCAACCCUUACUAUCAAAUUUGUAACCAAAGAAGAUGUGGCCGUUUACUACUGCGCUGGGUGGGAGGGAGAGUCACGGUGUGUGGAUUGUGGAGAGGACCCACACAAGAUCCCCUCUCUGGAUCUGUGCCCACCCACAUCCUUCCCGACAGAGAAGCCCAGAGCCAGCUCCCAGCUGCUCUAGCAGUCUCAACACCCUCCUUGCAGCUCCCCUGGGCUCUACAGGAAGCUAUCAUAGAUGCCACUGUCACCUGAGUCCCAGCUGACCCCAGCAUCUGGUUCCAGAUCUCCCUCAGAUGCUACUUUCUACUGAGUUCCAUCCUGGACUGUCGGCUGAUUAGAUAGGGCUGUACCGCUGUCACCUCACUAGUAUCCAGAGAUGCUGGGUAAGUGGCCAGGGCAGAAUAGAGGGAAUCAUGGCAGCCACUGUCACUACAUACAGUGGACACAUCACAUACAAUACCUCUGUGAAAUAACUACUCUGGUCCAGGGUAGAACCAAAGAUGUUGCAGUUUAAAGUACUGAAGCCCAGUGCACCACCCAAGACAAGAAAGUAUGUCUUUCCAACUGGACUAUGGAGACCACCCUGCAAAGUUCCUGGAUGGGGGUUCUGUGGGUGAGUGCUCGGCUCUCUGGGGCUAACUGGGGAAGGAGUAGGUGCCAUGUCUAUGGGAGGCAAAGGGAGGAG